GACCCUUCCAAGGGCGCACUUGCGGAAGCCUUUGCAGCCACGCCCGCCGUGGUGGGCCCAGACGACUGUAAACAAGCUGGGCCCCAAAUGCAAGUCCGCUGCAUCUUCUGCAGCGGGCGACACUUUCGAAUUGACGGGGACGCCCUAAAGCCAAGUUGCACCAACCCGGCGUGGAAACACGCUCCGGGGGCCCGUGGUAAUGCGCGGGGUACGGUAACAGACAACUUGGAUGCCACAAUGGGCCAUCCGCAGCGAAGCUCCUUCCCCGCCCGGCGCGGGAUGGAGAACGUCCACAGACUAAGUGGAAGUGGGUGGGAGCCGCCAGCGCUCCUGCUUAAGAUAUAGUCGGGCCCUCUGGGAAAGCCAGAGGGAAAGCGCGAGAAAAGCAGCAGCUUUGUUGACAAAACCGUUCCGUAGGUGAACCUGCGGAAGGAUCAUUACCGUGUCGUGGGAGGCACUCUGGCAGACCGCGCGCGCGCCUGGCCCCAAGCACAACGCUUCGUUGGGCUUGGAAGCCCCCCUCCCCUCGGGCGCGCGCAGCUGGGCCAUUGGCGCCUCCUGCAACCAAAACCCCCCAUCCCUGCUUAACACGCACCGUUUGUUUCCUCGGCGGGCCCGCCCGCCGCAGGACCCCCCUUAAACGCUUUUGCAAACCACGCAGUCGUUCGUCUGAGCGGAGUUUUUCCAAAACGCACGCAAUCAAAUUAAAACUUUCAACAACGGAUCUCUUGGUUCUGGCAUCGAUGAAGAACGCAGCGAAAUGCGAUAAGUAGUGUGAAUUGCAGAAUUCAGUGAAUCAUCGAAUCUUUGAACGCACAUUGCGCCCUUUGGCAUUCCGAAGGGCAUGCCUGUUCGAGCGUCAUUGCAACCCCUCCGGCCGCCUCGAUUCGUCGACGCACGCUGGGUGUUGGGCGUCUUGUGGCUGCGGCCACUCGCCUGAAAAGCAUCGGCGCCGGCGCGUCGGCCCUGCGCGUAGCACAUUGUUCGCGCCUGGGACCCCGUCGCGGCGGCUGCCCCCAAAGCACCUAUUUUUCAAUGACUUGACCUCGGAUCAGGUAGGGAUACCCGCUGAACUUAAGCAUAUCAAUAAGCGGAGGAAAAGAAACCAACAGGGAUUGCCCCAGUAACGGCGAGUGAAGCGGCAACAGCUCAAAUUUGAAAGCUGGCUCUCCCCCGCGGGGGCCCGCGUUGUAAUUUGCAGAGAGCACUUCGGCGGCGGCGCUGGCCUAAGUUCCUUGGAACAGGGCGUCAGAGAGGGUGAGAACCCCGUUCGCGGCCGGGCGGCCGCCGCCAUGUGAAGGCUCUUCGACGAGUCGAGUUGUUUGGGAAUGCAGCUCUAAAUGGGAGGUAUAUUUCUUCUAAAGCUAAAUACCGGCCAGAGACCGAUAGCGCACAAGUAGAGUGAUCGAAAGAUGAAAAGCACUUUGGAAAGAGAGUCAAACAGCACGUGAAAUUGUUGAAAGGGAAGCGCUUGCAACCAGACGUGCCCGCGGGCGCUCAGCCGGGCCUUGUGCCCGGCGCGCUCGCUCGCGGAGCAGGCCAGCAUCGGUUGGGGCGGCUGGACAAAGGCGCCGGGAACGUGGCCCUCCUCCGGGAGGGUGUUAUAGCCCGGCGUGCCAUGCAGCCAGCCCCGACCGAGGUCCGCGCU
rnacentral:rRNA from 1 species